GUCAGAGUAGCUUAUAGGGAGAGCAUGGCGCUGAAGUUGCUAGGGAGAAGAGCUACCUUCCUCUGUCG
rnacentral:tRNA from 1 species